GACGAACGCUGGCGGCGUGCUUAACACAUGCAAGUCGAACGGAAAGGCCCUGCUUGCAGGGUACUCGAGUGGCGAACGGGUGAGUAACACGUGGGUGAUCUGCCCUGCACUUCGGGAUAAGCCUGGGAAACUGGGUCUAAUACCGGAUAGGAGCCAUUUUUAGUGUGAUGGUUGGAAAGUUUUUUCGGUGUAGGAUGAGCUCGCGGCCUAUCAGCUUGUUGGUGGGGUAAUGGCCUACCAAGGCGGCGACGGGUAGCCGGCCUGAGAGGGUGGACGGCCACAUUGGGACUGAGAUACGGCCCAGACUCCUACGGGAGGCAGCAGUGGGGAAUAUUGCACAAUGGGCGCAAGCCUGAUGCAGCGACGCCGCGUGGGGGAUGACGGCCUUCGGGUUGGAAACUCCUUUCACUAGGGACGAAGCUUUUUGUGACGGUACCUAGAUAAGAAGCACCGGCUAACUACGUG
rnacentral:rRNA from 1 species